UCAGAGGCUGCAAGUUGCUAGGUUAUUGUGAGAGUGUAAACACUUGGGUUGGGGAUUAUAAGCUUAAUCAUUUUUAAGCUUACCAAACACUUGGGAAGUAAGGUUUAUAAUACAUUUCGGUUCAAGGUUUAGAUUGGUCAUAAAGCAUUCAAGGUAUUCCAAAACUCUAGUUCAUUUGGUAUUAUUUUCUUCAAGUUCUUAUAGUUUUCUACUCAGCCCCUAACUUUAUUCUUUAUUCUUGGAUAAGAAAUCUAAGUUCUUGAGCAUAAGGUUUUUGGAGUGUUCCAAGGUCCCAAAUCAGUUCUCAUAUCCCGAUUAUUUUGGAAAAUAGCUAUAGUGGCGGGAAAGGUUCUUGGAUGCUUGGGAAUGUGUAUUGAGGCGGAAUGGAUUCAAAGAGCCGAGAGUUUCGAUUUGAGGAUGAAGUCUUUAUUAUGGUUUUAUGUGUAUUUUUC